CAAAUUACUCUCUAUGUUGCUCAGUGCAGUUCUCUGUCACACAAAGCUUUAGUUUCCUCUACAAACACUGGAACUCAUAUGUGAUCAGAGCAGCUUGUG